CUUUUUUAGGAAAAUAAAGUCAUAUUUAAAGUUUAGUCCAUCACAUUAUAUCUAUGAAUAAAACUAAGUUUUGUGUUUAACAGGUUGUUGGUGAUCCCCGACUAUCAUGAUCCCAGAUUAUCAUAAUGACUGAAAUGGAACACUCUCAAGAGCAAAUAGUGGUAAGGAAUUAUGUUCAAUCAGAAAUCUCUUCUUCAUGCAGGCCAUUGAAACAAAUUGAAACACUAAUAAAUAGGUACAGUGAAGAGCUACCCAAUAGGUAAGUAUUUUGAAGCUAAAUAUAUGUUGUGUUUUGUUGUUUUGUUUUGUUUUUUAAUGUGACUUUUCAUGUGACUUAUGAGGGCACUGUAGCCUUGUGGAAUGUAUUUUAGUUUGAUUCAUGACAAAAUGAAUCAGGGAAUGGGGCUAUUU
rnacentral:lncRNA from 1 species